rnacentral:rRNA from 1 species
UACAGAGGGUGCGAGCGUUGUCCGGAAUCACUGGGCGUAAAGGGCGCGUAGGUGGCGACCCAAGUCUGUGGUGAAAGCUCGACGCUCAACGUCGAGUCGGCCAUAGAUACUGGGUUGCUUGAGCACUGUAGAGGCAGAUGGAAUUCCGGGUGUAGCGGUGGAAUGCGUAGAGAUCCGGAAGAACACCGGUGGCGAAGGCGGUCUGCUGGGCAGUAGCUGACGCUGAGGCGCGACAGCGUGGGGAGCAAACAGG